GAUGAAGAACGUAGCGAAAUGCGAUAAGUAAUGCGAAUUGCAGAAUUCAGUGAAUCAUCGAAUCUUUGAACGCACAUUGCGCCCGCCAGUAUUCUGGCGGGCAUGCCUGUUCGAGCGUCAUUUCAACCCUCAAGCACAGCUUGGUGUUGGGACUCGCGUUAAUUCGCGUUCCCCAAAUUGAUUGGCGGUCACGUCGAGCUUCCAUAGCGUAGUAGUAAAACCCUCGUUACUGGUAAUCGUCGCGGCCACGCCGUUAAACCCCAACUUCUGAAUGUUGACCUCGGAUCAGGUAGGAAUACCCGCUGAACUUAAGCAUAUCAAUAAGCGGAGGA
rnacentral:misc_RNA from 1 species